GUCAAGGUGCUCAAUUUGUAAGCUCAUUCUUUACUGAAGGUACAGGUUACAAAUGCCGUCCAAAUGAAGUAUUUAAUCAAUGUGGAGUUGGACCAGAAUGCGAAGACUACUGUGGAAAAGGGCCAAUCGCUUGCGCUUAUUGUAAACCUGGCUGUUACUGCAUUGACGGCUACUUAAGAACGGGACCUAGCAACAGAACGAGAUGCGUUCCCAGAAAUCAAUGCCCAGUAGCACAGAAAUGUCUUCAGAACGAAGUGUACAAUGAGUGUGGAACAGCCUGUCCGGAUAGCUGCGAUGGCCAAAACAGAGUUUGCACCGAAAAUUGUGUACCCAAUUGUUUCUGCAAAGAGGGAUACAUCAGACUACAUGAUGACACUCAAACCACGCGCUACAAAUGCAUACUACAAGACCAGUGCCCAGUUUCAUAAAUAAUGAAAGUUACAACAUCGAUAACCUAUUGUAA